CAACGAGCGCAACCCUCGACCUUAGUUGCCAGCAUUCAGUUGGGCACUCUAAGGUGACUGCCGGCUAAAAGGUCGGAGGAAGGUGGGGAUGACGUCAAAUCAUCAUGCCCCUUAUGACCUGGGCUACACACGUGCUACAAUGGGCGGUACAAAGGGUCGCGAACCCGCGAGGGGGAGCCAAUCCCAAAAAGCCGCUCUCAGUUCGGAUUGCAGGCUGCAACUCGCCUGCAUGAAGCCGGAAUCGCUAGUAAUCGCGGAUCAGCAUGCCGCGGUGAAUACGUUCCCGGGCCUU
rnacentral:rRNA from 1 species